GUGCUCGCUUCAGAAGCACAUGGGCUUGAAUUGGAACAAUACACAGAAGAUAAGCACGGCCCCUGCUUGAGGCUAGCAUGCAGAUUCAAGAAGUGUUCUGUAUUUUU
rnacentral:snRNA from 1 species